rnacentral:rRNA from 1 species
CAACAGGGGAUUGCCCUAGUAACGGCGAGUGAAGCGGCAACAGCUCAAAUUUGAAAUCUGGCUCUUUUAGGGUCCGAGUUGUAAUUUGCAGAGGGCGCUUUGGCGUUGGCAGCGGUCCAAGUUCUUUGGAACAGGACGUCACAGAGGGUGAGAAUCCCGUACGUGGUCGCUAUCCUUCGCCGUGUAAAGCCCCUUCGACGAGUCGAGUUGUUUGGGAAUGCAGCUCUAAAUGGGAGGUAAAUUUCUUCUAAAGCUAAAUACUGGCCAGAGACCGAUAGCGCACAAGUAGAGUGAUCGAAAGAUGAAAAGCACUUUGGAAAGAGAGUCAAAUAGCACGUGAAAUUGUUGAAAGGGAAGCGCUUGCAGCCAGACUUGCCUGUAGUUGCUUAUCUGGACUUUUGUCCAGUGCACUCUUCUGCGGGCAGGCCAGCAUCAGUUUGGGCAGUUGGAUAAAGGUCUCUGUCAUGUACCUCUCUUCGGGGAGGCCUUAUAGGGGAGACGACAUGCAACUAGCCUGGACUGAGGUCCGCGCAUCUGCUAGGAUGCUGGCGUAAUGGCUGUAAGCGGCCCGUCUUGAAACACGGACCAAGGAGUCUAACAUCUAUGCGAGUGUUUGGGUGUCAAGCCCAGACGCGUAAUGAAAGUGAACGGAGGUGGGAACCCUUUGGGUGCACCAUCGACCGAUCCUGAUGUCUUCGGAAGGAUUUGAGUAA